rnacentral:rRNA from 1 species
AGAGUUUGAUCCUGGCUCAGGACGAACGCUGACGGUGUGCUUUAGGCAUGCAAGUCGAACGAGAAAGCCCUUCGGGGUGAGUAAAGUGGCGAACGGGUGAGUAACACGUGGGCAACCUGCCCCUCGCAGGGGGACAACCGGAGGAAACUCCGGCUAAUACCCCGUAAGCUCUACACGCCGCAUGGCGAGUAGAGGAAAGGUAGCUUCGGCCAUCCGGCGAGGGAUGGGCCCGCGAUGCAUUAGCUAGUUGGUGGGGUAACGGCCCACCAAGGCGACGAUGCGUAGCUGGUCUGAGAGGAUGAUCAGCCACACUGGGACUGAGACACGGCCCAGACUCCUACGGGAGGCAGCAGCCAGGAAUCUUGGGCAAUGGGCGAAAGCCUGACCCAGCAACACCGUGUGGGCGAUGAAGGCCUUCGGGUCGUAAAGCCCUGUUGAUAGGGACGAAGGGCGAAGGGUUAAUAGCCCCUAGCUUGACGGUACCUAUCGAGGAAGCCCCGGCUAACUACGUGCCAGCAGCCGCGGUAAUACGUAGGGGGCGAGCGUUGUCCGGAAUUAUUGGGCGUAAAGAGCGUGUAGGCGGUUCGGUAAGUCUGUCGUGAAAUCCUGGGGCUCAACCCCGGGCGUGCGAUGGAUACUGCCGGGCUAGAGGGUGGUAGAGGCGAGUGGAAUUCCCGGUGUAGCGGUGAAAUGCGUAGAGAUCAGGAAGAACACCCGUGGCGCAAGCGGCCACCUGGCAGAGCACUGACGCUGAGGCACGAAAGCGUGGGUAGCGAACCGGAUUAGAUACCCUAGUAGUCC